CGGGACGGGGCGGAGUAAUGUCUGGGAAACUGCCCGAUGGAGGGGGAUAACUACUGGAAACGGUAGCUAAUACCGCAUAAUGUCUACGGACCAAAGCGGGGGGACCUCCGGGCCUCGCGCCAUCAGAUGAACCCAUAUGGGAUUAGCUAGUAGGUGAGGUAACGGCUUACCUAGGCGACGAUCCCUAGCUGGUCUGAGAGGAUGAUCAGCCACACUGGGACUGAGACACGGCCCAG
rnacentral:rRNA from 1 species